GACGGAGGGUGCAAGCGUUGCUCGGAAUCAUUGGGCGUAAAGGGUGCGUAGGCGGCUUUUUAAGUCUGACGUGAAAGCCCAGGCUUAGCCUUGGAAGUGCGCCAGAAACUGGAAGGCUAGAGUGCCGGAGGGGAGAGUGGAAUUCCGUGGUGUAGCGGUGAAAUGCGUAGAUAUCAGGAGGAAUACCGGUGGCGAAAGCGACUCUCGUGGACGGUAACUGACGCUGAGGCACGAA
rnacentral:rRNA from 1 species